rnacentral:rRNA from 1 species
GAUGAACGCUGGCGGCGUGCCUAAUACAUGCAAGUCGAGCGAACAGACGAGGAGCUUGCUCCUCUGACGUUAGCGGCGGACGGGUGAGUAACACGUGGCUAACCUACCUAUAAGACUGGGAUAACUUCGGGAAACCGGAGCUAAUACCGGAUAAUAUAUUGAACCGCAUGGUUCAAUAGUGAAAGACGGUUUUGCUGUCACUUAUAGAUGGAUCCGCGCCGCAUUAGCUAGUUGGUAAGGUAACGGCUUACCAAGGCAACGAUGCGUAGCCGACCUGAGAGGGUGAUCGGCCACACUGGAACUGAGACACGGUCCAGACUCCUACGGGAGGCAGCAGUAGGGAAUCUUCCGCAAUGGGCGAAAGCCUGACGGAGCAACGCCGCGUGAGUGAUGAAGGUCUUCGGAUCGUAAAGCUCUGUUAGUAGGGAAGAACAAAUGUGUAAGUAACUAUGCACGUCUUGACGGUACCUAAUCAGAAAGCCACGGCUAACUACGUG